ACCCGUCUAGCUCAGUCUGGCUAGAGCGCUGGCCUUUUAAGCCAGUGGUCGUGGGUUCGAGCCCCACGGGGGGUG
rnacentral:tRNA from 1 species